rnacentral:tRNA from 1 species
GAAGUAUAAUCAAGUAAAAGCUGCUAACUUAUUACUUUAACGGUUAAACUCCGUUUAUACUUCU